AAAGGUCGUCGGGACCGGGAGUCGAACCCGCAACGUCCGCGGGUCUAAGGCCUCCAAAUGUGGGGCGUGCUAACCCCCUGCGCCACCACAGCACGCCCCUUAAUGUAAUGCUCUACUUGUCCACCUUAUUUCAAAAGGUGGAUCCGCCCAGCUCCACCUCAGAGAUCAGCCAUUCUGGAUGAUGGUGGCAGGAGUUCAUCCGGUAAUCUGGGAGUUGCCGGUUUGAGUCCUCGCUCCGUCCGUCUCCAUCUUCACCCACCUUGGCUGCCCGGCGGUCCUGUCAGACGCCCAGGGCAGCUAUGGCUACUGUCCAGUAGCUUUCCUCCACCUCUGCAGGUUGAAGGUUCCCUACGACCCAGUUCUGUGAACGGAUUUAUGUCUUCAGACCAUCUGCAUUUUUGCCAUGUGGACAGGGUAGACGUAGCGACGGACUGCUCCGGAAAAAUCCAGCCUUUUACCUAAAUUCACCCACAGAAAGCUAAUUCUACACCACCCAUCAAUACAGAAACAUCUUGGCUGGUGUUUUAGAUUAUUUACCCAGUAGUGAUGGCCUGUAAGAAGGAGGACGCUAGCUUAACGCUAGAGGCUAUCACGGUGAGCAUCUGAAAUCUGAGUCCAGAUCUUCUGCCAACAAGCUGAGCUCCAAGCUGGACCAGGUGCAGCAAACCCUGGAGGAACAGGCAGAGCCAGUCUCCUCCUUAGAGGAUCUGGGCCAGCGAGCGGCUGGCCUCGAAGACUCCUGUGCGGCUCUCUGUGAAGACAACGCCAAGCUAAAAGAUAAAGUGACCUGGAGAGCCACAGCGGACGGCAGAACAUCCUCAUCCUCGGUCUGCCCGAAGACUCUGAAAGUGGGCGCCAUACUCACUUUUUCUCCAACCUUCUCUGCGAGUUAUUUGGGAAAGAGGAGCUCCGUCUCCACCAGAGCUCGAUAGAGCUACCGCUCUCUGGUAGCUAAACGGCCCGCAGGACCCGGUGAUCCUUCAUCGAUACCUGACCAAAGACCUCAUCGCUCCGGAAGCCAGGAGGAGAGGGAAGCUCGACUACAGAGGUGCGUCUGUUCGUAUUGUGGAGGACUACGGCCCAGACAUCCUGGCCCAACGUGCAGACAAUAAGGACAUCAUGGCGGAGCUCUACAAGCGGGGCCUGAGGCCGCCUCUUCUCUUCCCAGCCCGUCUUCGCAUUACGCAAUCCAGCGGUGCCAAAAACUUCUCGGUUCGGUGAAGGAGGCUCAACAGUUCAUUCCAGAACCACAGGAAUAAAGGAGCAACGUUCUACCGAGGGCUGACUCCAGAAACUCAGGCGGCUGCUUUUCCUCAGGGCGCCGCCAUCUUGGACUUCACAACACCACACUCCUCGUUGUAGAGGAGCACGAGGUGAGGCGCACACUGCGGGCUGUCAACCCAAGGAAGGCUGCUGGACCUGAUGGCGUCCCUGGACGUGUCCUGAAAGACUGCGCCGAUCAGCUGGCUGGAGUCUUCACCAGGAUCUUCAACCAGUCCCUAGCCCUGUCUAC